rnacentral:rRNA from 1 species
AUUCCAGCUCCAAUAGCGUAUAUUAAAGUUGUUGCAGUUAAAACGCUCGUAGUUGGAUUUCUGGCGUGAGGCGACUGUUCCUAGGCUCUAUGCCUAGUGUAACAGAUCGCCUCGGCCAUCCUUCUGGAAAACGGCCCUGCUCUUCAUUGAGUUGGGGUCGGGAUCCAGAUCUUUUACUUUGAAAAAAUUAGAGUGUUUAAAGCAGGCUUAUGCCUUGAAUACAUUAGCAUGGAAUAAUAAUUUAGGACUUUGGUUCUAUUUUGUUGGUUUCUAGAACUGAAGUAAUGAUUGAUAGGGAUAGUUGGGGUGCUAGUAUUCAGCGGCCAGAGGUGAAAUUCUUGGAUUCGCUGAAGACUAACUUAUGCGAAAGCAUUCACCAAGGAUGUCUUCAUUA